CAGCUGGAACAGCUAUGUACGUUUUCGAUUUUCUAUUCACUCAUGAUCUGGCCUGGUCGACCCAAUCAUGAGAUUGAAGGAUGGGACCUUUUCUCGAAAAAGCCUGUCUCUCGACAUACGGGCAUUCUUUUCGAUCUUGUACCCAAAAGAAAAGCCCCCCCUUGCGCGUUAGCCCUUUAUUAGUAAUGGAGGCUUUCUUUUUUUCAGCUCAAUCCCUUGCUUCUUCGCUUCGCAUAGGCUACACAAAUUAAAUUUAUUUGUUAGCGGUAGACUUCACACCAACCCAAUCUCGAUGAUAAUCAGUAGAAGCAACUACAUCUGUGAACUGGGAGGGACGGAAUCCUAGCUACUAGGUAGGGUAGCCUGAAUCUACGCUACCAGCUUUAUUCUUAUUCAAUUUCCGCUUCGCCCUUUUCUAGCUUAUCUUCGGAGCAGGACAGAGAAGAAAAGACUACAUCGACAGGAAAAUAUUUUAAUUGGGAAGGCUUCUUUUCCUCAACUCAACAUUCUUCUCUGGGUCAAGCCAGCUAGGCCCUCUUCUGUCUAUAUACGUAAUAGAGUGCCAUCCCGCUUCUGCCAGAAUCGAAGCCAAUACGUGGACGCUUAAAUGAUUUGGUUCACGUCUUUCAAUGCCUUAAGUUAGUUAUUUUCUUAGCCGAGUGACUGAAUUCCAUAGUUCAUUCCUAAACCGGAAAGAUCGUCCCAAACUAAAAGAGAGUCUACCAAACAAGGAUCUUCCCAGCCUUCCACCAAAGCCACAACACUUCCUGUAUCACCAUCCCCGCUCACAGAGGGAUAAGCGGACUAGCCGGCUGAAAGGCAAAGAGAAGAACUGCCUACUCAAUUACAACUAACUAACCGCCUGAGCUAAUUGCCGAUCUCUUUCCCAUCCCCAGGGAUGAUCUUCCUUUCAUUCAGAAAGGCCUCCAUCUUGCAUUUUAACGCGCUCAAUCGGAAUUGGUUAGGUAGAUGUUAGGAAAGAGCAGUGCUUUAUUAAUAGUCGUGGGGGUCUGUAGGCCCAAUUGUCUUGUUGUUGUGUAGCUACUAUUUUAGAGUGUUGGAGCUGAGCUGAUUGGAGCUCGGGAUUUCCUUAAGCGAGUUCAAGGAAGUGAGGUGAAGGUAACCUUAGGUAAGGAGCUGACGAGAUAAACUGGUCUCCACGUCUUUUGGUAGUGGAGGACAGAAGGCGGACUUAAUUGAGUUGUGGUCUUGUUGGGGGGCUCUAGUAAGGUAUGGGGCCCCCAAAGGGGGGAAAUUAACCCAGUCUAAGCCAGGCAAGCAAUGCAAAGCUAGACGAACCCAGAUUCGGAUUCGGAUUCGGAAGAGAAAGAUCGGGCUUUGGAAGCGGGAUGACAUACGGACAAUGCACAAUUCCGUCACUUCAGCAGCGGGUAGACCAGAAAUAAUGUAGACCUGUCAUUCCUUAACCGGGAUGGUAAGGCCCUUGAAGCUGAAUUGGAUCAAAGGCUGCGCAUCUCGCACCUUGCUACUUAUUUCGUAACAAAGCGAAUGAGUAAUCGAAUGCCCUAGCCCGAAGAAGCUGCUUGAAACUGUCCUGGAAUCCCUACUCGCCCAUGUCGGGAUUCAACCUAAGGCUUGUUCGAAGUCCGAAUGAAUGGAUAAUACAUAAAGAAUAUGAAGCACAAUCUCCAACUCUUAACCGGUGGCAUCUUUGCUUGUUCCUGAUGCUUAAAUUUAUGUAGGGCUCCGUCCCGG